GAUGAACGCUGGCGGCGUGCCUAAUACAUGCAAGUCGAGCGGUAAGGCCCUUCGGGGUACACGAGCGGCGGACGGCUGAGUAACACGUAGGAACAUACCCCAAAGUGAGGGAUAAGCACCAGAAAUGGUGUCUAAUACCGCAUGUGCUCUAAGGAGUAAAGCUUCGGCGCUUUGGGAAUGGCCUGCGUCCGAUUAGCUUGUUGGUGAGGUAAAAGCUCACCAAGGCGACGAUCGGUAGCUGGUCUGAGAGGAUGAUCAGCCAGACUGGGACUGAGACACGGCCCAGACUCCUACGGGUGGCUG
rnacentral:rRNA from 1 species